rnacentral:lncRNA from 1 species
CCAGGGUGUGAAAAAGCCCUGGCUACAUGAGGAGGCACACAUGGAGAAGAACAAGUGCCCAGGGACUAAACCCAGGGCCAACAGCUAACCAGCCAGCCAGCAAUGAGUCAUCCUAGAAGCAGAUCCAACAGCAGCUGAGCUGCCCUCUAAAUGCUUCUUCAUAAAACACUGAUGAAGCUACAAGGCCAGAAUGUUUACAGACCUAGGAGUUGCUUAUGACCUCACCAGCUGAGAACUGUGGGGAUUGAGGAGGUUACACAGGAGGAAGACAAGGAGAAACUGUUACUAAGGGGCAAUCUUCAUUCCCUAGGCUUCAGACUUGAACUUUUGCUAAGACAGGUUCUUCAGUGGACCCUUCAAAUAUCCCGUGGAUAAACACAGCCAAAGGCUUGGCGUCUGUCUUCCUACAGUGUCUGUCCAUUCCACUGUUCUAACUCCUGGGCCAGCUCUACAUUAGAUAAAUGGUCAUUAUUUGAAAAAGAAAAUGUAUUUUCAAGACUUGUAUAACUUGACCUGUUGCCUAUUGGAGCUGGUGUUUCUUCCACCCCACCCUUGUGCUCUCAAGGUAGCUUGCAGGCUUAGUCUAUAAACCAUGAGACCAGAAUGGUUUAUGAGAAACUCAGUAGUUUCUGAGCAAAGCUGACUACUCAUUAGCCCAGCCCAGCAAAUAAAAUUGUGUGUGUGUGUGUGUGUGUGUGUGUGUGUGUGUGUGUGUGUGUGUGCUCAUACACACACACAAGAAGCAUGUCUUUUGAAACCAUGUUGGAACUAACAGACAAGUCCAUCCCUGAAGAAUCAAAAGCUUGCUGUUUCAUCUUGUUCCACGAGCAGCCCAGUCACCUCUUUGGUCAGUAUUAGUGUCCUUCUAUUCUUAUGUGGAAGUCAAUAAAUGGAGCCUUGCCUUGACUGUCUCUGCUCACACCAUGUGCAUGGAGCCUGGCUUGGAGGCACAGGUUUAGAAUAUGAACUACUCAAGGCUGAGGCAAGAGCAUCACAAGGGUCAAGGUCUGCCUGUAGAAAGACCCUAUCUCAGAAAGUCUAAAGAGGGCUGAGGAUAUACUCAGAGCAUGCACACUAUCCAGAAAUGCAAAAAAAAAAAAAUAUUAUGACUUGGUCUCAUUUCUGUUGUUCCCACGCCAUAAAUCCUUCUAUCCAAUCUCAAUUUUAGUCUAUGGUUACUUGACUUGGAUGCUGCAGUGUAUGUACUGAGACAGAACAUCAUGACGGGAGCAUGUGUGAAACAAAGCAGGUCACAUCAGCAGAUGGAAGGCAGGCCUGGGGUAGCAGAAGCAAGAUAAUAGACUUCCUAAAAGCAUGUCCCCAAGGACCUGCUCUCAACAAGGUCCUAAGUUUGCACCAUCUUCUAAUAGUCCAUCCAAGGAUUAAUCCAUAGACUGAUCAAAGCCUUCAUGAUUAAUAUCCUCCCCACAGCUCCACAUUUAUUUAGACAUCAAAUACGUGGCUGGGGAUAACCUUAAACUUUGAUCCUCCUACAUCUACUUCCCGAGUGCUAGGGUUACAGGCAUGUGUCACUAGUUCAUGUGAUGUCAGGGAUCAAAUCCAGGCCUUUGUGCAUGCUAGGCAAACCCUGUACCAACUGAACUUCAUUCCCUGUUUGCAUUUAUUGUCCUUUACAUGCAGCCUCAGUGAUAAAUGGCCCCUUUGGAAGCCCGGCAGUGAAUUAACUAAGCUUUGGGAGCCCACCUGGAGAGCACCUAUAGGAACCCCUAUUGCUCAGAACUGGAGAAGCAGCUGGGAGUGGUGCAGGGCUUUGAUCCCAGCCCUUGGGAGCCAGAGUCUGGUGGUUCUCAGAACUUGAGGCCAGCCUGAUAUGUCUAGUGAGGUCCAGGACAGUAACGGCCACUGUUGUGAGACCCUGUCCAAAACAAACAAAUGAACGAUCAAAGCCCCAGGACCAUAUUCCAAAUGUUUCACACACCAUUGUUGAGUCCACACUCGAGCCCUGGGGAAAUGCUGAGCAGUUGUUAGUCCGGAGGCAUGAUGUGUUUCGUAUCAUUCCUCUGCUUCAGUGUAGACCAUGGACUAAGACUAUGAAAGACAAAGUGUUGAGAGCUGGAAUGAGGGAGGCGAUUGAAGAGAAAGCUGAGAAUAUAAACUAGAGCUGUUUCCUGGGACAAACAGAUGAGCCUUGAACUGAGUGGUGCAGGAGAGAGCAGAAGCAGCUUAACUGGAGUGCCAGAGAUC